rnacentral:rRNA from 1 species
CACGUAGGGCGCAAGCGUUGUCCGGAAUUACUGGGCGUAAAGGGCGCGUAGGCGGCCUUCUAAGUCGAACGUGAAAUCCCCGGGCUCAACCCGGGAACUGCGUCCGAUACUGGAAGGCUUGAAUCCGGGAGAGGGAUGUGGAAUUCCAGGUGUAGCGGUGAAAUGCGUAGAUAUCUGGAGGAACACCGGUGGCGAAGGCGACAUCCUGGACCGGUAUUGACGCUGAGGCGCGAAAGCCAGGGGAGCAAACGGG